rnacentral:rRNA from 1 species
AUUGAACGCUGGCGGCAGGCCUAACACAUGCAAGUCGAGCGGAGCGGCGGACGGGUGAGUAAUGCCUAGGAAUCUGCCUGGUCGUGGGGGAUAACGUCCGGAAACGGGCGCUAAUAUCGCAUACUAUCAGAUGAGCCUAGUUCGGAUUAGCUAGUUGGUGGGGUAAAGGCCUACCAAGGCGACGAUCCGUAACUGGUCUGAGAGGAAGAUCAGUCACACUGGAACUGAGACACGGCCCAGACUCCUACUGGAGGAAGCAGUGGGGAAUCGUCCGAAAUGGAAGAAAGUCUGACUGAGCAACGCGGCGUGAGUGAUGACGGCCUUCGGGUUGUAAAGCUCUGGUAAUCGGGACGCGGUACCGGAAUAGAAAGCCACGGCUAACUACGUGCCAGCAGCCGCGGUAAUAC